GUAGGGGGCAAGCGUUGUCCGGAUUUAUUGGGCGUAAAGGAGCGUGUAGGCGGCCGCAGCAGGAUCCGUUGUGAAAACUGGAGGCUUAACCUUCAGUACGUCGAUGGAAACCGUGCGGCUAGAGUCCGGAAGAGGAGAAUGGAAUCCUGGUGUAGCGGUGAAAUGCGCAGAUAUCAGGAAGAACACCCGUGGACGUAAGGCGGUUCUCUAGUACGGUACUGACGCGUGAGAACGCGGAAAGCGUGGGGAGCGAACAG
rnacentral:rRNA from 1 species